AAAUGCUUUUAAUAAAAGCAAAUUAUUAAUAUUUGCCUUUGUGGUUUUUCUUUAGAUUUUAGCCUUUAUCCUAAUAAGGAAUAUCCCUGGAUAUGCCCGUUCAGUUUACAGUUCAUUUUUUGCUUGGUUUGGAAAAAUUUCAUUAGAGCUAUUUAUUUGCCAAUACCACAUAUGGCUGGCAGCAGACACAAGGGGUAUCUUGGUGCUCAUACCUGGAAACCCUAUGCUUAACAUCAUUGUCAGCACUUUCAUAUUUGUUUGUGUGGCACAUGAAAUUUCUCAGAUCACUAAUGAUCUCGCACAGAUUAUUAUUCCUAAAGAUAACUCAUCUCUGUUGAAAAGGUUGGCAUGUAUAGCUGCAUUUUUUUGUGGACUCCUCAUUUUAUCGUCCAUUCAAGAUAAAUCAAGACAUUAAGUUCUCAAAAUUCUAAAAAACUGAAACUCUUCAAGCUAACUUUGUGUCUGCCUCGAGGAGAAUAACAUCUCUGGAGAUACAACUGUAUGUGUAAAUAAAAACUCGUGGUGAGAGGACAGCUCAGUGACGUCGGUUGAACAUUUGUGGUUGUAUAUAUUGGAAAUGUACAUAUCCAAUGUGAAAUACUGAAAAGAAUGGAAGAAGCAGAGUGCAUUGUAUAGGACUGCAUGUGAAAGUCUUUCUACUGGAUCUGCGUUUCCAUUUAUAAAUGACUUUAAGUGAACAUAUGAAAGCAGGGAAAUAAUUACCUUUCCAGUAAACAUUAUAGAUAAUUUAAUUAGCUUCGUGUCGCACUGAGUGUUUUGAUAUUUACUAAAUUUGUGGUAAUAAGAUUGUCUACACCUAUAUUCAUCAUGGAACUUCCUACUUCAUUGAAAACUUUCUUACUGAAGAAUGACUGCAGUAUUGUUUUCUUCUUAUAUGUGCAAUGAUGUGGAAUGAGUAACAGUAUGCCUUUAAUUUAUGUGUUCAUGGUCUGAUGUUCUGUGUGUCCUGCCAUGAUUUUUUUUCUAACUGUGGUGUUCAGGUUUGCAAGCCUAAAUCUUUGUACACUUUGUCUCACAAAGUUGUUCUAGGCUCCAUGACAGGGUUUUGUCAUUGUCAUAUGUUGUUGUUGCUUCUUUUUAUAAAAAGGCCAAAUUUUCUUUCCAAUUCCAAUAUUCACCUGUUUUCUUUCCUUAAGCUAUACCAGUGUAAUACCAGUUACCCUGUGGACCCAUUUAAUAUGUUUUCCCCUGACUAAUUAAUUUUUGUAUAUUAUUUCCAAUGUUUGGAAAGCUCUUUAUAACCAUUUUGGUAUUUCUUAUUACUCCCUCCUAGGUUUUUGGAAUAUUUAUCAAUCUAAACUUGUGCAGCCUAGUAAUGAUUCAAGUUGUUACGAUUGAGAUGUAUGACCAUCAGUAGAAUUUUAAGUAAACUGGUGACUUCGGGCAAUAUACGUUUUGGGUUUGGUUUGGUUUUGUACAAGCUAACUGUUAGAGGUAUAAAUUUAUUUAUCUGUUGUACAGAUUUGUUUAUGACUUUUAAUGUUUGAAAGAUUGCACUUGUUUGCUUUUACUGUGUGUGGGGUGAAGCAUAUUUUCUGUUCAUGGUAUAUGAAAAUAUGGAGUAAUUUAAACAGUGAAUAAACAUUCUGUGGAUUCUUAUUUUUGUAUUGGCAAAGUAUCAAUUAAACUAUAUGUGUUCCUUUUUUAACGAACUGAAUCCAUUAA